ACGGGAGGCAGCAGUGGGGAAUAUUGCACAAUGGGGGAAACCCUGAUGCAGCGACGCCGCGUGAGUGAAGAAGUAUUUCGGUAUGUAAAGCUCUAUCAUCAGGAAAGAAAAUGACGGUACCUGACUAAGAAGCCCCGGCUAACUACGUGCCAGCAGCCGCGGUAAUACGUAGGGGGCAAGCGUUAUCCGGAUUUACUGGGUGUAAAGGGAGCGUAGACGGCUUUGCAAGUCUGAAGUGAAAGCCCGGGGCUCAACCCCGGAACUGCUUUGGAAACUGUAGAGCUAGAGUGCAGUAGAGGUAAGUGGAAUUCCUAGUGUAGCGGUGAAAUGCGUAGAUAUUAGGAGGAACACCAGUGGCGAAGGCGGCUUACUGGACUGUAACUGACGUUGAGGCUCGAAGGCGUGGGGAGCAAACAGGAUUAGAUACCCUGGUA
rnacentral:rRNA from 1 species